GCUCUACCAGCUCUUGUCUUAAAACAUUUGCCUCAGUGAGCAUUGCAUAUGACUGUGCCAUCCUUACUUUAUGGGUUAAUUAUGAUCCUAUCGACAAUCGGCUUAGUCUGGGACUGGGGCUACGAAGGCCCGGGGCAAGGGAGUCACGAUCUAGAUGUAGACAGCCUUUGACCUGGAACUUGGACGGCAGGAUCCUGGGCAGCUGUUGCACUGAGUUACUGUGAACAAGGCCUGGAUCUGUUUACCUUAUCUUUCUAGAACCUGAGGUCUAUGGAGAUGAUUGCAAUGACGUCUUCAGUACGCCCAUUAUUGUUAUGUGCAGUCCCCUUUGGAAUCUGCCUCCAUCACGGCUGCAAAGAAGUGGAGUCUUUGGAAUUUGAACUUGCCUCAACUUGCAUGAACCAUAAAAACCCAGCAGCACAGCCAUCAGCGGGCAUGGCAGCUUUGGCUUGGAUUCUUUUUCAUCCCGCCUUUGUGUACAGACAUCAUCUGAUCUACCAGGAAGAAGAAAAGUCAAGCUGCAGCUGUGUCCCACCCCAACGCCCGGUACAGCACAGCAUAGCAG